UUGACAUGGUUUUGGACGACUAAGAUUUGGCGAUCAAAUUCCCUUCAAAACCAAGUUCUUCUUUGUUUCUUCUCCUCCCCUUCAUUUGAAACCAAAAACUCAACAAAACAGAGAAACCGAGAGUGCAAGUGAGGAAAAACUUGAGUAACCGAGUGUGAGUGCAAAACAGAGCCAAGAGGGAAGUCUGGUGCGAAUGUGGAAGGAAUCCUUCUUCUGCUUUGAUCUUGGCGAAUCACUUUCGUUUACAAAUUAUUUGCCUUGUUUCUUCCUUCCAGCUUCUUGAACCCAAAUUAUAGCAACCUCACUGAACCGUUGUCGCUACCACUGUUAUCAUGGUUAUGCAGAACUAUUCUUCAAGGCUUCAACCCGAUCUUUUCUUGUGUUCUUGGGCUUGUUUCUGCUAAUCCUUUGAGAUGAGGAAAAAAAUGAGGAACCGCAGGCAGACCUACCCUUGGAAGUCUAUGAGGAUCCCGUGGAUCCACAAGUUUGAGUGCAUGUCUAUUCUCGCACUCUAGUGAAUUUCAUGUAACAUAAUGAAAGAAGUGGCCCUUAUGUUUUUUAUUUUGUAGCUAAUUCUAGCCUCAAUGAUGUAUGUAUUUGGAACAUUAUAUAUAUAUAUC